GUAGGGAAUCUUGCGCAAUGGGCGAAAGCCUGACGCAGCCAUGCCGCGUGAGCGAUGAAGGCCUUAGGGUUGUAAAGCUCUUUCAGGGGGGAAGAUAAUGACGGUACCCCCAGAAGAAGCCCCGGCUAACUCCGUGCCAGCAGCCGCGGUAAUACGAAGGGGGCUAGCGUUGCUCGGAAUUACUGGGCGUAAAGGGCGCGUAGGCGGACAGUUUAGUCAGAGGUGAAAGCCCAGGGCUCAACCUUGGAAUUGCCUUUGAUACUGGCUGUCUUGAGUACGGGAGAGGUGAGUGGAGCUCAGAGUGUAGAGGUGAAAUUCGUAGAUAGUCGGAAGAACACCAGUGGCGAAGGCGACUCACUGGCCCGUUACUGACGCUGAGGCGCGAAAGCGUGGGGAGCAAACAGGAUUAGAAACCCGGGUAGUCC
rnacentral:rRNA from 1 species